UGCAAGUCGAACGAAGUAGCAAUACUUAGUGGCAGACGGGUGAGUAACACGUGGUCAACCUGCCCUUCAAUGGGGGAUAACUAGCCGAAAGGUUAGCUAAUACCGCAUACGAUCUCCGAGUGGCAUCACAUGGAGAUGAAAGGAGUAAUCCGUUGAAGGAGGGGACUGCGUCCCAUUAGUUAGUUGGUGGGGUAAUGGCCUACCAAGACUCCGAUGGGUAGCUGGCUCGAGAGAGCGACCAGCCACACUGGAACUGAGACACGGUCCAGACUCCUACGGAAGGCAGCAGUGAGGAAUUUUCCGCAAUGGGGGAAACCCUGACGGAGCGACGCCGCGUGUGGGAAGAAGGCCUUCGGGUCGUAAACCACUGUCGAGGGGGACGAUAUUGACGGUACCCCUGGAGGAAGCCCCGGCUAACUACGUGCCAGCAGCCGCGGUAAGACGUAGGGGGCAAGCGUUGUCCGGAAUCAUUGGGCGUAAAGCGCUC
rnacentral:rRNA from 1 species